rnacentral:rRNA from 1 species
GAUGAACGCUAGCGGCAGGCUUAAUACAUGCAAGUCGAGGGGCAGCAGUCCCGCAGCAAUGCGGGAGCUGGCGACCGGCAAACGGGUGCGGAACACGUACAGAACCUUCCUUCGAGCGGGGAAUAGCCCAGAGAAAUUUGGAUUAAUACCCCAUAGCAUUACGAAGUGGCAUCACUUUAUAAUUAAAGAUUUAUCACUCGAAGAUGGCUGUGCGGCUGANAGGUAGUUGGCGGAGUAACGGCCCACCAAGCCUUCGAUCAGUAACUGGUGUGAGAGCACGACCAGUCACACGGGCACUGA